AAUAAGUGUAGCCAUGAGUUUCCGCGCCCAACUUUGAUCGUCUGUCUUAUUUGAAUUUUUUUUAUAAUUAGUAUUUUUUUUAUAAUAAGAUGAUAAAACAUGAAUAAUACUUUACUCGUGACUUAAGUUUUUAAUUUUUUAAAAAAAAAUUUCAAAUAAGACGAAUGAUUAAAGUUUGGCGCGAAAAACUAUGACUGCAUUUAUU
rfam:Oryza sativa Japonica Group DNA, chromosome 8, cultivar: Nipponbare, complete sequence.